AGGCAAAGAAGGUUCUGGUAGGUCUGAGCCUGUGGGACUGGAAAUCCGAAGGGGUCGUGCUGGUAUUGGGAAAGAAGAUGAUAAGGUAGAGAAGGUGAGGAAGGAAAUGGAGAAGGCUAACAGGGAUAGAAGAAGAGAAGAAGAGCUAAUGGAAACUUUUGGAUCUCACCUGAAGGAGCGUUGGAAGGAUAAGAGGAUUGUAAGAAAUUUUCACAAGGCUGAUGCAGUACUAGCUCAGUUAGAGAAUAGGGAGGUUGUAACGGAGAAAAAGGAAGAAGAGGAUGUAGGAAAGGAUGAGGAGGAGGAAGAGGAAGAACCGAUCACAGAAGAGGAUUUGCUCAAUACAUUGAUGAAGCUGAGAGAUGAGUAUCAUUACUGUCUUUUCUGUGGAUGUCAGUAUGAAUCAACCGAGGCACUGCAGUCUAACUGCCCUGGGAUAACCGAGGAUGACCACUAGAUGACAUUUCCCAGUAGGCCUUAGCAACAACACCUUGAGAAGGAUUUAGAAUCCUUCCUGCAACAAAUG
rnacentral:misc_RNA from 1 species